UACGAAGGGGGCUAGCGUUGUUCGGAUUUACUGGGCGUAAAGCGCACGUAGGCGGACUAUUAAGUCAGGGGUGAAAUCCUGGAGCUCAACUCCAGAACUGCCUUUGAUACUGGGGAUCUCGAGUCCGGAAGAGGUGAGUGGAACUCCGAGUGUAGAGGUGAAAUUCGUAGAUAUUCGGAAGAACACCAGUGGCGAAGGCGGCUCACUGGCCCGAUACUGACGCUGAGGCACGAAAGCGUGGGGAGCAAACAGGG
rnacentral:rRNA from 1 species